CAGGGAUGCGGGGACCGUUGGCGCGGACAAGGGUGGCGCCCAGGCCGGUGCGGGGGGUGGUGGAGACACCAAGCGGGGAGCGCCGAAGGGCUCUCCCGGCAAAACUGAUGGAGUCAACCUGAGGCUUCCGGGCUUGCCAGGUGUUCUUUCUGGAUUCUCAGAGAUAGGUAGCAAGUGGCUGCCCCACAGCACCCAAAUCCUGGAAGAUAAGCAAGCUAUGUUGUCAUCUGCCCAGAACCCCUGCUCUCUAGGUCCCACUGCUCCCACCAGUUAGGUAGUGGGAGUGCUGGGGAGUUGGAGAAAACCUCAUUGGACGCACUUGCAGCUGGCAGGGUAUACAGUAGUACCCUCAUUUUACACAGCAGAAAAGGGGAUGCUGAGGGCUGGAAG